rnacentral:rRNA from 1 species
AGAGUUUGAUCCUGGCUCAGGAUGAACGCUAGCUACAGGCUUAACACAUGCAAGUCGAGGGGAAACGACAUCGAAAGCUUGCUUUUGAUGGGCGUCGACCGGCGCACGGGUGAGUAACACGUAUCCAACCUGCCGAUAACUCGGGGAUAGCCUUUCGAAAGAAAGAUUAAUACCCGAUGGCAUAGUUCUUCCGCAUGGUAGAACUAUUAAAGAAUUUCGGUCAUCGAUGGGGAUGCGUUCCAUUAGGUUGUUGGCGGGGUAACGGCCCACCAAGCCUUCGAUGGAUAGGGGUUCUGAGAGGAAGGUCCCCCACAUUGGAACUGAGACACGGUCCAAACUCCUACGGGAGGCAGCAGUGAGGAAUAUUGGUCAAUGGACGAGAGUCUGAACCAGCCAAGUAGCGUGAAGGAUGACUGCCCUAUGGGUUGUAAACUUCUUUUAUACGGGAAUAAAGUGAGGCACGUGUGCCUUUUUGUAUGUACCGUAUGAAUAAGGAUCGGCUAACUCCGUGCCAGCAGCCGCGGUAAUACGGAGGAUCCGAGCGUUAUCCGGAUUUAUUGGGUUUAAAGGGAGCGUAGGCCGGAGAUUAAGCGUGUUGUGAAAUGUAGACGCUCAACGUCUGCACUGCAGCGCGAACUGGUUUCCUUGAGUACGCACAAAGUGGGCGGAAUUCGUGGUGUAGCGGUGAAAUGCUUAGAUAUCACGAAGAACUCCGAUUGCGAAGGCAGCCUGCUGGACUGUAACUGACGCUGAUGCUCGAAAGUGUGGGUAUCAAACAGGAUUAGAUACCCUGGUAGUCCACGCCGUAAACGAUGAUUACUAGGUGUUGGAGGAUUGACCCCUUCAGUGCCGCAGUUAACACAAUAAGUAAUCCACCUGGGGAGUACGUUCGCAAGAAUGAAAC